rnacentral:rRNA from 1 species
UACAGAGGGUGCGAGCGUUGUUCGGAAUUACUGGGCGUAAAGCGUACGCAGGCGGCUUGAUCAGUCGGAUGUGAAAGCCCCAGGCUCAACCUGGGAACUGCAUCCGAAACUGUCAAGCUUGAGUUCGAGAGAGGGAAGUGGAAUUCCUGGUGUAGAGGUGAAAUUCGUUGAUAUCAGGAGGAACACCGGCGGCGAAGGCGGCUUCCUGGCUCGAUACUGACGCUCAUGUACGAAAGCGUGGGGAGCAAACAGG